AAUGGCAUUUAUAUAUCCAAUUUAUGGUGGAUUAAUGAUAAAUGACUUAUUAUGUACAUGAAUCUAUUAACAUAAAUAUUGUGUUGGACCCAACCUGUAGUCAUGUGUAAUAUUGCAUAAAAUAUAAUUAAUGAUUAAUGAAAAUAUUAUAUCUAUAUUAAGGUAAUUAUAUGAAAACAAAAUUAUACUACUAUUUAUGUUUUUCAAACAAUAGACUAAUUAAUCUUAUGUCCAAACACUAUAAAACAUUAAUUCUCACCUCUUAAUAAGUUUUAUUAAUCUUUAAAUUUUUUUUUGAUAAAAUUAAGUAAUUGACUAACACUCAAAUAAUUUAUAUAAAAAAUAAAAAAUAAGUAUAACUUUUUGGGUUUAGAUAUUUAAAAAUAAUUUUAUUUAAUAUGAAAUCAGUUAAGUUAAUAGAUUUUAUUUAUAUUUUCAUAAAUAGAAAACUACAUUCAAGCUUUCAUAGUAAAUUACAUAUUAUAUAUAAAUGGAAUUUUAAAGUCAAUAAAUUGACAUCAAAUAAGUUUUAUUAUUCAAAAUUUAUCAAAAAUAUAUAUAACACAAUUAAUCAAAUAAAUUGCAGAAAUUUAGUUAAAAAUUUAUAACGAAAAAAUUAAAAUGUUUGAAAAUAAAAUUAAGUAAUAUCUUAUAUAAGUUCAUAUUAGUAGAAAUAUAAAAUAAUAUAAUUAUAUAUAUAUAUUCAAAUAUAUUAGAAGAAAAUGUUAAAACAUUUUAUUUCCUUAGUAAAUUUUUGUUAAAAAUAUUCCUGCACUUUUAAGCAUGGGUCAGAAUCUAGUUCAUCCAUUAAAGUGAUGGUCAUAAUUAGAAGAAGAAAAAAGUGGCCCUUCUCAUAAGAUUAUGUUAUAAAUUGCUUUAUAAUGUUAUUUAUAACAUUAAUUUUUCUAAAUAAUUCAGUGAUUGUCCAAAUUAAACAAUUAUCCUAAAAUGAUCCUCAAGAAACAAACAAAAAAAUUGGGUGGUCAUAAUGUUUAGCUUGUUUUUUUCUGCCAAACUUUGUUAUAAAUCAUAUCAAAGUUUAUAAGAAGAUCAAGAAAAGGAGAACAACAAUGAAACAAACUCUAUUAAGUUUGAGAAAUGAUUACUUUUCUAACUAAAAAUCAAAAUAUUUGUUGUUUAAUCGUUUUCAGUUGUCAAAUGGUGGAAUUGAACAUAUAUUGCUGAUAUCGAAUAGUAUAUAUGUAACGUUGAAACUUAAAAUUACCAAUGUUAAAGUUUAGGUAUGGUGUUAAAAGUAGCAUCACCUCAUUACGUGGGUUUAAGCAAGGUCUUUUGUCAUUGAGACAUACUAGUCCAUUUAACCUUAGGAGUAGGAAAAACUGAAGUCUCACUCUGGUGCACAAAAAUAGCAAGAUGGCAACAACUACUUGCCUAAAGGUUUAAAUCUUACAAUAUAAUUCAAAUUAGAUUGUCAAAUGUAAACAUUUUAGAUUGCCUAAAGACUCUUGUCUAACAAGCUUAUACUCUUCCAAUACUAUUUCAAUGAUGGUAGGUUGUCAAAUUUGAGCAUUUUAACUAUACAAAAUACUUUAUUCAAAGCUAGUUAUGCCUAUUAAUGUGUUAUUAAAAUCUCAUGAUAAAUAUCCUUUGGCUUUAUCUCGUUGUACUUUUAUGAGCAUUAUUUAGCGCAUAUCAUAAUUAAGCUUAAUUUUGGGUUUACAGAAAAAAAAAUCAGGACUUCAAUUUUGAGAGAUUUGCUUCUUCCACUUUUCAGAAAGAAUAUCUGCCGUUAUUCAAAGAACAAUUAAAACCCUACCAUUAUAAAAGAAAUUAAUUACGAGGAACAAGAAUAUUAAAAAAUAGAGAAAAUUACUCAAAGAUCUAACCCUUUUACCCCAAUAUACAUUCUUAUAUGGAAGUUUAUAUGACAUAGAAAAGUUGUUAUAUAAAUACAAUAUCUUACAUGUUUCAAAAAUUACUCAAAUGUUUGUAAACCCCUAGUAAAUUACAAUAAAUACCACUGGUUAUUUUUUUUAAUGUGAUUAUUUAUAAUAAAAAAAUAAUUAACAAAUCCACAUCACUAAUAAUUAUAUCCACGUCACUAAUAACUUUGAUCUAUAGCCACAGGAAAAAAAAAUCAAACGACCUUUAACUUAAAAUUUCCUUUGUCGAUUAUACCCUCACCACGAUUUGAGUCAAAAUCAUUGUUUUCAUCUGAAAUUGUGUUCUCAGCAAUAGUCUCCUCUGUAAGUGUCUUCUUCGCAAGCAUCUUCUCCGAAAUCGUUUUCUCUGAAAUCGUAGUCUCCGCAAUCAUCCGAUAUCAUCUUUAAUCUUCUUCUCUCGUAUGUUUCGAUGAGUUACUUUGUAUUCGAGUUUGUGGCUAAAUUUUAUUUAUGAGUUUAAUUUAUGGCUGACUUAGUUUUCUAUUGCGGCUAAUUUAUAUAUGCAGUUAUAGCUGAGUUAGUUAUCUAUCGCGGCUGGUUUAUAAAUGUAGUUGUGGUAAAGUUUAGUUUUGCUGGUUUAUUGUAUGCUUUACGUCUGAUUUAUCAUUGAUAUGUUAUAUAUAUUUUUUAUGACCAAAUGGAUGUUUCUGAAGAUCAAGCAAUGAAUUACCCUCUAAGACUCUACGAUGACGGGGCUUAUAAUCUUGAAAAUAAAAACAUUAAUCACAACAUCCAUAUGGGAGACAUCCCUCAAAUUAUAAACACAAUAAGAAAAGAUGUGUAGGAUAACCUGAAGGAGUUUCAUGUUGGAGUAAUUGCUAAGUUAGCUGAUAGCAAAUUUGUGCAGUCUGGUAAGGUUGUAUACUAUCUACUACGUAGACAACUGCGAAUAUAUAAGAAAGAAAUUUGGUGUUUCCUUGUUGAUCAACCUCUCAGGUUUUUCUUACAUGAAUUUAGUGAGAUCACGGAGUUAAACACAUAUACAUUGCCAAUAGAAAGUUUUGAACCUUAACUUGACCAAUACAAAGCAUUCUGAGAGGAGUUGAAUAUGCGGCUUGGGUUUAGACUCAAGUUAGAUGAACUGAGGCCAUCAUUAGUGGUCUGUCGAACCUGGAAUUUUGAAAAGUGGAAAUGGUUAGGGUUGUUUCUUCUUCAAGCCAUAUGAUUUUAUGGCUUGCAUCAUAAUUCUAGAAUACCUUUUGAAAGUGCAAAAAGAGUAUUUGAUGAUGAAGACAUGAUGACUUAUCCAUGAGGUCAUACUGCGUAUGAAGUUCUUGUUGAUUAUAUUAAGAUGUUGAAUCCACAAGGAAAGUCAUACACCCUUAGCGGCAUGAAGGAUGUGUGGUUGGCUUAAGCGUAUGAAUAUGUCACUUGCUUCGCAGAGCUUUUUGGGAAAGUUGUCAAUGAGCAAGAAAUUCCACUUUUGUGAUGGGGUGGAAACUAUGCACAUGAGGAGAUCAGUGAUCAUGGAAAGGUGCGUGUGAGGAAAAUUGUUAUGAAGGAGGUUGUAGAAAAGCUAUUUUCGCAGUGGCCGGGUGAAGCAGAUGAGCCACAAUUUGAUAACUUGAUAAAAAUCAUACUAAAACACAUUACCUUACCUAUCUAAAAAAAGAGGGCCAUGGGACGGAUAUGUUUGUUAGAGGUUUUUGGGAUGUGUAGAGGAAUGAGAACAAAAAAUAAAAUAAAGUAUGGAGUUUCGUUAGAGGCUGAACAACCCACAGAGAAGCAGAAGAAAAAUAAGAAAUAAAAGGAAGUGACCAAUAGUGAGAGUGAAUAUGCAGAUGUAGAGAAGAAGAAGCAGAAGAAGGAGAAUACAAAGGGAAAGGGAGCUAGCGAAAAGUAAGGUAAGAAAGAUAUAGAGAAAUAUGUGGCUCUAGUGAAUAUAAUCGCUACUCUAGACAAUUUAGCCAGAAAUUUUGAAAACGUGGAUGGUAGAUUAGAGAAUUUUGACUCGCGGUUAACCACAUAUGAUACCAAAUUUUCAGAGUUCACCUGAAACUUGGCAAAUUUGGAGAAAAACAUUGGCAAUGGAGUAAAAGCUCCAGUGGAUGAGCGUCUGAGAGUUCUCGUAAGGAAAAGUACCCAAAACGAUGAUAAACUCUUAAAAGUUAACAACCUAUCUUUACCGCAUAAGUCCGUUAAUAGUCCAACGGCAGUUAAGACCCCUGCUAAAAGUUUGCUAAAGCCAAUGAGAAAGGUUCGGGGGCAAAAUUGAAUUUGAAAGAUGCCAAUGCUAAGGCUAUUCGGGUGAAGAAGAAUUUGGUUGAGGAGUUUGGUACUGCUGAUGCAACAAUUGUGGGUAGUGUUCUUGAUUUCGUUAUUGUUUCUCCUGCUAAGGAACCAGUAUACGGAUGCGGAUGCUUGGGUAUGCCAAAACAGAACUAAGUUGAUGUAAAAAAGUAGGAGGCUAAUCUAAAAAAGAAAGAGGCCGCUGCUAAGAAGAAACAGGCAGCUGAGUUAAAGAAGAAGGAUACCCUUGCUUUAGAAAAGACAACGAGGACUCGUGCAAGAGUAAUAAGAAUACCUACUACGAAGAAACAUCUGAUUGAAAAUGACAGUGAGCUUGAGGAUGAGACCGACGAAUAUGUCGCGGCAGAAAACAAACUGUUGCCGAAAUCUUAUGAGGAUGAAAAGAAAAGAAUUAGGUCUAAGAAAAUUAAGUCUUAUCGGGAGAGACGUUUUCAAUAAUCUCCACAUGGGUUUGCAAUGAUGCCAUAAUAUGCUCAUUCAGCACGAGUUUUUUCUUAUAUUGGAGACAAUGGAAUGAUGUGCGUGAGGAAUAACUUUGAACCUUCAACAACAAUCUAUGAUCCUAUCGCACCUGUUGAUCCGAUUAAAUUGGAUAAACGUAAGCAACAUCUAAAGCCAUUUGAGUAUUGACCUUUACACCAUUUUUUGAUAUAGUUAUUUACAAUAUUUUCCUAAACUGACUUGUGUUUAAUUACUAGGGACAUUCCACUUGCAAGGUGUCACGACGAUAUUGAGUUCUACAGAUACCUCAUCAUUGAAAGACCGCAAUGGCAAAACAGAGAGUAUGGAUGAGCUGUUUGAUAAUGUAAGUCUACUUUAUAUAUGUCAUAUAUUAUGUGGGGCUGACUUGCAAAACUUUACAGCUGAGUUAUUUAGUUAAAAUAUAAUUUGUGGCUGAGUUUUAUAUUUAUUAUGUGGGGCUGACUUGCGAUACUUUACGGCUGAGUUAAGUAUUCUUUUAGACUGAGUCAAUAUUCUUCGUAGAACAUAUUUGUGCGUAUUUGAGAGUCUUCAUGAAAAUGUCCACACGAGAUCCCAACCCAUUCUGGUCCAAGCGCAUUGCUUUUUUGGACACUUGGUUCGUUCAAGUAUGGUGUAUGGAUUACAAAUUUACAACUAGUUCAAGAUCAAACCAAAACUGUUCACAUUGAAAGAUACUGGUUAUGAAGAUUUAGUAAACGGUAAGAUGCCCACAGACAUUCCGAAAAACAUGAAGUGGUUAGAAGAUGUGGAUCACUUGUACGGACUGCUUCAAACUGGAGGUGAUCAUUGGGUGGCGUUUUACUUAGAUCUCCGGAAAGAGAAUAUUAAUUGCUACGAUCCCAUCAAUAUUGGAAAGAUAACACCCGAAAGUGAACAGAAAAUGCUAGAUGCAUUUCGGCCACUUACGGAAAUGAUCCCUGCAAUGCUGAAUGAUUUAGUUUCUUCUAAUCUCCAAAAACCUAACUACAAGCAGUUUGCGUUCCGAAGGAGGAGAGGCAAAAAAAAUCCACGAAACACCCAAGUUGGCGAUUGUGGGUGUGUAUUCGUUGAAGUUUGUUGAGUGUCUAGCACUUGGUGUAACUUUUAAUGGAUAAACGAUGCAAAUAUUCAGGGUUUACGUGUCAAAAUGAUAGCAGAGAUCCUCGAUGAAUAAGGAAGUGAUAUGUGUUCACAGUUCAAUUGAUUUACCAUUCAUAAACCUUUUAUUUUGUAUUUGACUUAUGGUAUGUGUUUAUUUUGUAUUUGAUUUAUGCUAUGUUAACUCGGCCGUGUCGUUUGUAUAACUCAGCCAUGGUAUAGUAACGUCCGCCAUUGUUUUCAAAGCUUUAUUUGAGAACAUGUAGCUCAUGUGAAUCUGAUUGCUCGACCCCUUCAAUCCAUAAUCAUCGAGUACCAACUCUGCAAGCUCGUCGCGUGUUGUUUCUUCAUCUAUAUGCAGAACUCUACACCCUCUAUUGUCAGCGUUAAAUACAUAUAUGUUUUUCUUGGCCUAAUUAUCGGAAACAAUAAUUACCGGAUCCAUAAGAUAUCGGAAAAAAGAUGAAUAAAAACAAUAAAGAAGAAGAAGAAGAAGAAGAAGAAGAAGAAGAAGAAGAAGAAGAAGAAGAAGAAGAAGAAGUCCUCAAUAAAUCAGCCAUUAAGUACAAAUGUAAGUCAGCCACAACAUAAAUACUAUUUCAGUAAUAAAUAUUUCGUUAAAAAAUCAGCCGUAAAUAGACUGAAAGUAUUAAGUUAGCCGUAUUGUCGAAUAAAUCUGCCAUCAAUUGAAUGGUAUCAUAGUAAUUAAUUUUUUGCUAAUAGGUCAGCCGUAAUUAAGCUGAGUUUACUAUUAAUCCAGCUCAUUACGGCUGAUUAUACGUAAACCAGCCAUAACUACAUUCCAAAAGUCAGCCAUAAAUUUAGUAGCACAGCCAGCCGAUGAUCACUAUACAGCUGAAAAACAUAACUCAGUCGUGUCUUAUCUACAAAUAAACCAAAUAUUUGACAAAUCAACCAGCCAAUGUAUAAGUCAGUCGUAACUUGUGUUCAUAAAUCAACCGUUAUCUCAUAAAUUAGCUACAAUUCGGUAAAUCGGUAAUAAUUUACGACUAAUUUAUAUUCGUAAGUAAGCCCAUAUCUUAUAAAUCAGCCGCGUUGUUUAAUCAGCCGCAAUGUAUCCAUAACUCAAUCGUCAAUACCGCCAUAGCGUUUUACGGUUGAAUUCAUUAAUACAGUCAGCGAUUUUUUAUGUGACGCCAAAAUUUUUUUUACGUGGCAUUAAAAAAUAGUGGCAUUCUUAUAAUUAUUUUUUUGUCAUAACGUAAUAAAAUGACACGUUGAGUAUCUAUAAAAAUAGUAAUAAAAAAAAUUACAUGCUUCUAGUCAUAUUACCUAAUUUGUGUGCUGAUUAAAUUAACAUCCCUAAAAAAUAAUGUAUUAUUUGACCAAAUUACUAAAAGUUUUAAUUAAAUAAUAAAAUCAUAAAAAAUAAUAAAAUCGUAGAAUACGUUGUCAAAAACAAAAUAUUCGUAAAAUACAACUACUCAAAACCAUUUAUAUGAGAUUAAGUUAUACUUAGAAUAUUAUUCUAAGAGAUUCAUUUUAACUUACUUAAUCUUUACAAUAAUAAAUAUGUAAUCCCAAGACAUGCAUGGCAUAUAUAUAUAUAUACACCACACAGUCA